rnacentral:rRNA from 1 species
GGAAUUCUCCGCAAUGGGCGAAAGCCUGACGGAGCAACGCCGCGUGAGGGAUGAAGGCCUCUGGGCUGUAAACCUCUUUUCUCAAGGAAGAAGACCUGACGGUACUUGAGGAAUAAGCCACGGCUAAUUCCGUGCCAGCAGCCGCGGUAAUACGGGAGUGGCAAGCGUUAUCCGGAAUUAUUGGGCGUAAAGCGUCCGCAGGUGGCCUUGAAAGUCUGUCGUUAAAGCGUGGAGCUUAACUCCAUUUAAGCGAUGGAAACUACAAGGCUAGAGUGUGGUAGGGGCAGAGGGAAUUCCCGGUGUAGCGGUGAAAUGCGUAGAUAUCGGGAAGAACACCAGUGGCGAUGGCGCUCUGCUGGGCCAUCACUGACACCCAUGGACGAAAGCCAGGGGAGCGAAAGGGAUUAGAUACCCCUGUAGUCCUGGCCGUAAACGAUGAACACUAGGUGUCGGGGGAAUCGACCCCCUCGGUGUCGUAGCCAACGCGUUAAGUGUUCCGCCUGGGGAGUACGCACGCAAGUGUGAAACUCAAAGGAAUUGACGG